AACAGAGAUGUAAAAAUCGUAUUUGUUAAAUGUGAUAAAAUUUCAUAUUCGACUAAAAGAUAAGAUAAAAAUACACAUCUCUCGGAACAGUUUGAGAUGUCGCUACCGGGAUUGAGCUAUAAUAGCCUCAGUUCCAAACAGAACUGGUGCCCCAAAUCAUCGACGAUGCAUGGAAUUCAAAGAAAGAAAAAGCAGUGUGAAGAGAAAAAAGUCCUAUGAUUAUACAUAUACACACAAAAAUAGAUAAAUCCAUUCAUCAGUACUUAAGCGUGAUGGCCGACUAAAAUACCAAGUUUAUUCAUUUAGUAAAGUAUUAUGGAAUAAAUUACUUCUGGUCUGAAAA